AACACAUGCAAGUCGAACGGUAACAGGAAGCAGCUUGCUGCUUCGCUGACGAGUGGCGGACGGGUGAGUAAUGUCUGGGAAACUGCCUGAUGGAGGGGGAUAACUACUGGAAACGGUAGCUAAUACCGCAUAACGUCGCAAGACCAAAGAGGGGGACCUUCGGGCCUCUUGCCAUCGGAUGUGCCCAGAUGGGAUUAGCUAGUAGGUGGGGUAACGGCUCACCUAGGCGACGAUCCCUAGCUGGUCUGAGAGGAUGACCAGCCACACUGGAACUGAGGCACGGUCCAGACUCCUACGGGAGGCAGCAGUGGGGAAUAUUGCACAAUGGGCGCAAGCCUGAUGCAGCCAUGCCGCGUGUAUGAAGAAGGCCUUCGGGUUGUAAAGUACUUUCAGCGGGGAGGAAGGCGAUAAGGUUAAUAACCUUGUCGAUUGACGUUACCCGCAGAAGGAGCACCGGCUAACUCCGUGCCAGCAGCCGCGGUAAUACGGAGGGUGCAAGCGUUAAUCGGAAUUACUGGGCGUAAAGCGCACGCAGGCGGUCUGUCAAGUCGGAUGUGAAAUCCCCGGGCUCAACCUGGGAACUGCAUUCGAAACUGGCAGGCUAGAGUCUUGUAGAGGGGGGUAGAAUUCCAGGUGUANCGGUGAAAUGCGUAAAGAUCUGGAGGAAUACCGGUGGCGAAGGCGGCCCCCUGGAACAAAGACUGACGCUCAGGUGCGAAAGCGUGGGGAGCAAACAGGAUUAAAUA
rnacentral:rRNA from 1 species